CCAGUGCUCCCAAUAAAGCUUCCCAGUUGGGCUCGGGGCCGUUUAUUGGGGUGAUGGGGAGGGAUUUGGGCAAAGGGAGGGAUACAAAGGGUGGUGGCUUGGGAGAGUCUGUCAGAAUUUUCCCUCAUCUGCCUCACGAUUGUCAUUUGAGGACCACUGAAGAGAAGACCCCCGCCCCCCAUCUCCUCUGUAGGAGAAAGUCACAUGCCACAAGACCCAGAGACCCCAGAGCACAGUGUUCAGUUACUGUUUUCACAGCUGUUGUUUGCUGUGUGCUACACUGAGCCCAAGGAGAAGAAGAAGGGGCACCGUGCCCUUUUUGCAACAACAGCCUUGGGAGCUGUCCCACCUCUCGGCCUGGCUGGACUUCUCCUGAGUUUCAGGUGGUCCCCCCACAGAAGACCCUCACCUGUUUUACAACCACCAUGACAGACAGACUGAGAUGUUGUGACCGCUGGACCAAGAGGACAAUGGCUCUCGCUUACUGCUGAGAGCAUGGACUACCGGUUACAUCUAUUCCUUAUUGUAUCUGCUUCCCCAUCCUCACAAUUUCCAAUAGAGUUACCAUAAUAAAAACCCCUGAGUUAGCGAGAGACUUCGAGAUCUCCCCGACGUAACAGUGGAUCCUCGACUGGACUGGACCAAAGGACUUCGUCUCUACGUUUGGCAGCUCUAUCCCCUCUUUCUCUCUCUCUCUCUUUUGUCUCUCUCUUCCUCUCUCUUUUUCUCUCCCUUAAUCCCUCUAUCGCAUUUUGCUGUGCUCAUUCAAUAAAGGUGCAUUUGUUUUGAUUAUCAUUGCAAACCC